rnacentral:lncRNA from 1 species
UCGCAAAGCAAUGUUCUUAUUAGCCUCCUAAUUAUGUAAGUAAUCAAUUAAACCACUAUGGCAUCACAUACUAGAUGUUGACUUAACCAAUAGUAAUACAAUACUAGAUAUAUUAUCAUUGAGCAUAUCAUAACCUUAAGGACUAGUUUCCAUAUUUUAGCUAAGUAUGGUCCACCAACUACUUCACUAGGUUUCUAGCCCACAAGUCA